UACGAAGGGGGCUAGCGUUGCUCGGAAUCACUGGGCGUAAAGGGUGCGUAGGCGGGCCUUUAAGUCAGGGGUGAAAUCCUUGAGCUCAACUCCAGAACUGCCUUUGAUACUGAAGAUCUUGAGUUCGGGAGAGGUGAGUGGAACUGCGAGUGUAGAGGUGAAAUUCGUAGAUAUUCGCAAGAACACCAGUGGCGAAGGCGGCUCACUGGCCCGAUACUGACGCUGAGGCACGAAAGCGUGGGGAGCAAACAGG
rnacentral:rRNA from 1 species